AAUGGGGGAAACCCUGAUGCAGCGACGCCGCGUGGGGGAUGAAGGCCUUCGGGUUGUAAACCCCUUUCAGUAAGGAACAAGGCCAUGAUUGUUGUUGUGGUUGAGGGUACUUGCAGAAGAAGCGCCGGCUAACUACGUGCCAGCAGCCGCGGUAAUACGUAGGGCGCAAGCGUUGUCCGGAAUUAUUGGGCGUAAAGAGCUCGUAGGCGGUUUGUCGCGUCUGUCGUGAAAUCCCGAUGCUUAACGUCGGGCUUGCGGUGGGUACGGGCAGGCUGGAGUGCGGUAGGGGUGACUGGAAUUCCUGGUGUAGCGGUGGAAUGCGCAGAUAUCAGGAGGAACACCGAUGGCGAAGGCAAGUCACUGGGCCGUUACUGACGCUGAGGAGCGAAAGCAUGGGGAGCGAACAGGAUUAGAUACCCUGGUAGUCCAUGCCGUAAACGUUGGGCACUAGGUGUGGGGAUUGUUCCACGAUUCCUGUACCGUAGCUAACGCAUUAAGUGCCCCGCCUGGGGAGUACGGCCGCAAGGCUAAAACUCAAAGGAAUUGACGGGGGCCCGCACAAGCGGCGGAGCAUGCGGAUUAAUUCGAUGCAACGCGAAGAACCUUACCAAGGCUUGACAUACGCUAGAUCUGCUCCAGAGAUGGGGUUUUCUUUGGACUGGUGUACAGGUGGUG
rnacentral:rRNA from 1 species